rnacentral:rRNA from 1 species
GAUGAACGCUAGCGGCAGGCUUAAUACAUGCAAGUCGAGGGGCAGCAUGAAUGUAGCAAUACAUUUGAUGGCGACCGGCAAACGGGUGCGGAACACGUACACAACCUGCCUAUAAGUGGGGAAUAGCCCAGAGAAAUUUGGAUUAAUACCCCGUAACAUAAUGAUGUGGCAUCACAUUAUUAUUAUAGCUACGGCGCUUAUUGAUGGGUGUGUGGCUGAUUAGAUAGUUGGCGGGGUAACGGCCCACCAAGUCUACGAUCAGUAGCUGAUGUGAGAGCAUGAUCAGCCACACGGGCACUGAGACACGGGCCCGACUCCUACGGGAGGCAGCAGUAAGGAAUAUUGGUCAAUGGACGCAAGUCUGAACCAGCCAUGCCGCGUGAAGGAUUAAGGUCCUCUGGAUUGUAAACUUCUUUUAUCUGGGACGAAAAAAGGCUAUUCUUAGUCACUCGACGGUACCAGAUGAAUAAGCACCGGCUAACUCCGUGCCAGCAGCCGCGGUAA